AAGACUAUGCUUUCAGGGAUCAUUCCUAUAGUUUGUUAGUAUAGAAGUUUCUCUGACUGUGUAGAGCACUUGAAACCAUGUUGACAAUACAUACCAUCCCCUCUUGAGCAUGAAGCCAGUUCUAGGUGUUGCUUCACUGCAACAGCCUCCAGCCAUUGAUGAUCGUUCUUCUCUCCUUUGGCAGAGUGAGAGGGAGGGAGUGCAGUCUGAGUGGA